CGCAAUUCUAAAAAAUUAAUGUCGCUUUCGUAAUUUCAGCACACAAAAAAACUGCCGACGCUGGCAGCGCAGCUGGCGUAAGCGCCAACAACAGCGUCAGCGACAGCAACAGCGACAGCGAAUGUCUUAGUUAGCGAGAAAAAAAGGAGGAAGAAGAAGAAGCAGCAGCAGUAGCAGUUGAAAAAAAAAAAAACAUUGCAGCUCGCUAGGGGCGAAAAAAUGGGGUCAAGCAAUACUGAGGCGUCAAUAUUCUAUAAUCAUGUAUGAAAACUGAUCUCAAUGAUUCCCAAAAGUGGAAGAAAUGCUUUGAGUGACCUUGAGCGAGAUUGCAUAAGAGGAGGAGAUGAGGCACUCUGCAGAACUACCUCAAGUAACUCUCUAAUGGGCGUCUUGCCUCAACUUGGCGGCGAAUCAAUCGAUACACGGCCGCAAUCCGUUGGCCAAUUCGCUGGGGACAAGGGCACAACAAAGCGCUGAAACCUUGACUCACGCUGGUCGGUGGAUGGGACUAUAGGAGCAGCUGAAUACAUACAUACAAACGUAUAUAUUUAUACUUGAUUUUCCCAGGAAAUGUCUUUCCAUUUCUAAGCUAAUUGCAAAUAUUAAAAGAGUAAGGACUUAUUAUUC